GAUGAAUGCUGGCGGCGUGCCUAAUACAUGCAAGUCGAGCGAAUGGAUUAAGAGCUUGCUCCUAUGAAGUUAGCGGCGGACGGGUGAGUAACACGUGGGUAACCUGCCCAUAAGACUGGGAUAACUCCGGGAAACCGGGGCUAAUACCGGAUAACAUUUUGAACCGCAUGGUUCGAAAUUGAAAGGCGGCUUCGGCUGUCACUUAUGGAUGGACCCGCGUCGCAUUAGCUAGUUGGUGAGGUAACGGCUCACCAAGGCAACGAUGCGUAGCCGACCUGGUAGGGUGAUCGGCCACACUGGGACUGAGACACGGCCCAGACUCCUACGGGAGGCAGCAGUAGGGAAUCUUCCGCAAUGGACGAAAGUCUGACGGAGCAACGCCGCGUGAGUGAUGAAGGCUUUCGGGUCGUAAAACUCUGUUGUUAGGGAAGAACAAGUGCUAGUUGAAUAAGCUGGCACCUUGACGGUACCUAACCAGAAAGCCACGGCUAGCUACGUGCCAGCAGCCGCCGUAA
rnacentral:rRNA from 1 species